GAUGUACAACUUCAGCGA
rnacentral:siRNA from 1 species